rnacentral:rRNA from 1 species
UACGGAGGGUGCAAGCGUUAAUCGGAAUUACUGGGCGUAAAGCGCGCGUAGGCGGCUGAGUAAGUCGAUUGUGAAAUCCCCCGGGCUUAACCUGGGAACUGCGCUUGUAACUGAGAGGCUAGAGUGUGGCAGAGGGGGGGUGGAAUUCCACGUGUAGCAGUGAAAUGCGUAGAUAUGUGGAGGAACACCGAUGGCGAAGGCAGCCCCCUGGGCUAACACUGACGCUCAUGCACGAAAGCGUGGGGAGCAAACGAGG